AUGGCCCUGAAUCAAGACUUGUUUUCUGAAGCUGUUUGUUUCAAGCAGGAGCCCAUAGAGAUAUCUCUCUGGCCUCUGUUGGCCAUUUCACAAUUUUAGAAAUGCAGUGGUCAAUUCAUUAGAAAGAAACAACA
ensembl:snoRNA small nucleolar RNA SNORA2/SNORA34 family